ensembl:lncRNA
GGUGGAUGACUGGAUGUGUAAAGUGCUUUGGGGUCCUUAGGGACUAGUAAAGCGCUAUACAAACACAGGCCAUUUACCAUUUAAUAUGAUGGUUGAUAAUUACCAGUUUGAUUAUUUCAGUCAGAGCUGAAUCUGCUCAGAGAAACAGGAAAGAAGAACUGACACCAAGUUACUUUAAUUCUGUCUGCACAAAGUUAAAGCGUCACAAACCGUCAGUGUGACAUUACAUUAGUGACAGAGGGCUCUUAUUGUAAAAAUCUGUCUGCGCUCAGGUGAAGCCCUGGCUUUCCAGGAAGCAGCUGAACUAUAAGGAAGUAAGUGGAGCUUGUUGUUGCUGUCUUUCCUCCUUUAACAUUUUGUCUUUAGGAACUUAACUGUUUGUUCAGCUCAUGUUUGAUUUCUUCACAACAAACUGUGUUUGUUUUUAUUUCCGGUCUCUCCAUUAAAGUCAGUUUGUAACAUCAGCUGUAACAUGGCUAACAUCAGCGGUGUGCAGCUUAGUUCCAGCACGAACAGCACAAAUCUGCCGCUCCAUAGUUCACGGUAACGGACUCACAGCUGGACCAACCAGGCGGAGUGUGUCCGCCAUCAUGAACUACGUUUGUGUUUGUGUACUUAUAGUUUGUACUUUGUAAGUUCACUCAGAGUCCACAGAGGAUGCAGCGUACGUGAUGAUGUCACAGCCCUUUACCUCCUUUACUGUCACUGUGAUUAAUAUUUACACACCAGACACCUGCAGAGGUCUGACGCUAAGCUAGCCAGACAGCAUGCUAAUGCUAAGUGAACUGAUGAAAGCUGUGUCUCAGAUGGAGUGGAUGUUAGUCCAACACAUCAGACAUGACCUCUGCAGCUCUCGAUGUGCACAUGAAGGAUCAGUGUGAAGACAGAGAGGAGGGAGUCCCUCCCUCUAAAACCACUCUGUGUGGGGAAUAUGAGAGCCAGACCAAAGCUCAGAGGUGAGAUGACCAUCUCUAACUGUCCAUGACGCUUCUCCAUGUCACAGCUCAGCACUCACAUCACUGCUCCAUCAUUAUUCACAGG